rnacentral:rRNA from 1 species
UACGAAGGGGGCUAGCGUUGUUCGGAAUUACUGGGCGUAAAGCGCGCGCAGGCGGUCUUCCAAGUCAGUGGUGAAAGCCCGGAGCUCAACUCCGGAACUGCCAUUGAAACUGUUGGACUUGAGUACGAGAGAGGUGAGUGGAAUUCCCAGUGUAGAGGUGAAAUUCGUAGAUAUUGGGAAGAACACCAAAGGCGAAAGCACUCUGCUGGGCCAUAACUGACACUGAGAGACGAAAGCGAGGGGAGCAAAAGGG